CUCUCCCCUAUCACGCUUCCCCCGUUCCCAGCCGCUCACCCCGCCCUCUCCUUCUCAGCCGCUCGCGCCGCCCCGGUCAUCUCACGUGCGUGCCAAGGUCUUCGAGCGCCACCAAGUCAUGUUUAUCCUCCGGCCGAAAUCCCUCAAGCCGGCAAUGUUCCUCCCAUCCCAUAAGGAGCGCGCCACCGUGAUGAGCGCCGCCGCCAUGUAGGGUUCGGGCGCCGGAGCCUCAUCCCCCCCCCCCCCCCGCAGCAUCCAUACUUCCUCCCUCCCCGAGUUCACCGGCUUCAGGCCCUGGUUCCUAUCAGGCCUACGAGCUGCUGCGCCUGUAGCUCGACCAGCGCACCUGCGAGCUGCUGCGCUAGGGCCUUGACCAACUACGGUACCGUGCUAUCCGUAGAGAGGUUCAAGCCCCACGCACGCGGUUUCGGCGUCUCGCCCCGGCAUCAGAUCCAGGGAUGGGGCUCAUCUCCAGGGAAGCAGCGCAAUGCCGAAGAGCAGGAAAUAAUCUCCAGGGAUCGGAGGGACCGCCGGGACUAUGAACAGAUCGCCAACCUCGCUAAGAGGAUGGGCCUCUACAGUGAACUGUAUGGGAGGGUUAUUGUUGUGAGGAAGGCCCCACUGCCGAACUACAGGCCAGACCUAAACGAAAAGUGUCCACAGAGAAAGGUGGUGAUCCCGCUAAGCUUGCAGAGGAGGGUUAAAGGACUUGUACAGGAGCACCUUGACUGUGCGCUCUUGCCAUUUUGAUAAAGAUGACGGCAAGACAGAAAGUGGUUCCGAGAAAACUGAGCCUGCGAACUUGAAUGAGAGGAAGGACCCUCUGCUCGACGAGUCGGUCAUGGAGAAGGUCCUUCGGAGGAAGAGUAUUCGGAUGCGCAAUUUUCAACGAACUUGGCCGGUAUGAUGAACUCUAAAGAGUAGCUGAAUGCCAUAUAGCUUUUUUUAUGUUACAGGAAAGAAACAAAGGAUGAUUUGCAAAUAACCUUCUGCAGCAUUUCUUAUAUGUUCCUUCAUAUUUAUAUUUAUUUAUGCAAGUUGAUGAUUCAUGGACUUAUUGGAUGAAGCUUUUACCUGCUUGUAAUAACACGAAUCCCCUGAAGGUGGUAAGAUGGUAGAAUUUUGGAAAUCCCUCCCAGCAUAGGAUAAGGAAAGGCUUCUAGCUAGCAGUCAUUGCACGUAAUCAGAUUAGUGAUCUUGUGAAUGAAAGCAAUGUAAAGAUGAACAGACUUAGGCAUCAGACAGAUAACUUAAAGUAAAGAUGAACAUACGAGAAGGCCACUUGCAGGUUGGGAUAAGUGCAUGGAGUCAAAUUUUCUUUCUGUCGAAGUAUAGCGGAUAAACAGGUUAAAUCCCUACUGAAGUCCAAGGCUAGCGGAUAAACAGGUUGAAUCCCUACUCAAGUCCAAGGCUAGCGGAGAAACAUGUUGAAUCCCUACUCAAGUCCAAGGCUAGCGGAUAAACAGGAUAAUAUCUAUUUAUUGGAUUAGUUAUUGAUCGACUACAUCACUAUAUCAAGGAAUUAAGGACGAUGAAGAAAACAUGGAGGUUUAAGAUAUACGUGGGUGCAUCCCUUCUUACCUAGAACAACCAUAUGCGCGAAUGAGUACAAAAUGAUGCAUAGCCCUUCCAAAGAAGAUAACUAUGGUAAGAAGAUAGAUCAUGAUGUGAGAGGAUGAGAGCUCAUGAUCUGAUACUGUUUUAACAAAACAAAUAAAAUGAGGUAUACUAUGUUUGGUCGUGACUUGAAGAUCUAGGAGCACAUAAGCACCAAGACUGAUGUGUAGAUACAUAGCCAUGCUAUGAAGUACUUCCUCAAUGUCUAGAAGCUCGGCCUUGCCAUAGGGCUGCCGCCUACUGGUAGCUCAUUAUUUUAGCCACUACUCCGCCGCCCCAUCAGUGCUCCUCCUCUCUGGGGUCAGGCCAUGUAUGACAAGGGAAGAAAUUGCUCCUUCCACUGUGUCAGGUUCAGUCAACACCACCAUCUUGGCCACUGGUUGUAAGGAGUGCAUGUAUUGCUUCUUUAUAUCGUAGUGUCUGUCACUUUUAAACUUGUUAAGUACAACACUAUUGUUGGUAGAGUUCAGGCUUGAUGCUGAAUAUUUGUUGUAUUAAUACUUUUAUGGUGAAUCGAGAAAAACAUCAGUCCAUAUUGCGUUGAUGCAGCAGAUAUUCUCAAAAAAGAAAA